rnacentral:tRNA from 1 species
UAAGGCGCCAGCUUAAGGCGCUGGUCCGAAAGGGCGUGGGUUCAAAUCCCACCGUCAUCAUACUUUUUAUCUGUUGAAGU